UACGUAGGGACCAAGCGUUGUUCGGAUUUACUGGGCGUAAAGGGCGCGUAGGCGGCGCGGUAAGUCACUUGUGAAAUCUCUGAGCUUAACUCAGAACGGCCAAGUGAUACUGCAGUGCUAGAGUGUGGAAGGGGCAAUCGGAAUUCUUGGUGUAGCGGUGAAAUGCGUAGAUAUCAAGAGGAACACCUGAGGUGAAGACGGGUUGCUGGGCCAACACUGACGCUGAGGCGCGAAAGCCAGGGGAGGCAAACGGG
rnacentral:rRNA from 1 species